AUUGAACGCUGGCGGCAUGCCUUACACAUGCAAGUCGAACGGUAACGCGGGGCAACCUGGCGACGAGUGGCGAACGGGUGAGUAAUGCAUCGGAACGUGCCUGGUAGUGGGGGAUAACUGCUCGAAAGAGCAGCUAAUACCGCAUACGACCUGAGGGUGAAAGGGGGGGAUCGCAAGACCUCUCGCUAUCAGAGCGGCCGAUGUCGGAUUAGCUAGUUGGUGGGGUAAAGGCCCACCAAGGCGACGAUCCGUAGCUGGUCUGAGAGGACGACCAGCCACACUGGGACUGAGACACGGCCCAGACUCCUACGGGAGGCAGCAGGGGGGAAUUUUGGACAAUGGAGGCAAGUCUGAUCCAGCCAUGCCGCGUGCGGGAAGAAGGCCUUCGGGUUGUAAACCGCUUUUGUCAGGGAAGAAAUCUUCUGGACUAAUACUCUGGGAGGAUGACGGUACCUGAAGAAUAAGCACCGGCUAACUACGUGCCAGCAGCCGCCGUAAAAC
rnacentral:rRNA from 1 species